GUAACAUAAAUAGUCCACAGGGAGUAACUGAAGCUUGUUAGUGGAACUACUGAGGACAGAAGGGUCUCUGGCCCCGUUGAGCUGGUUGAGCCCAGUGACGGAGCACCCUCCGUGGGAGAGCAGGCCCAGGGAGGUUCUGGUCCUGGAGAGGCGUUACCUGUGGAGAAGCAGACUGACUGGGAGGACCAUAGUGUGGAGAUACCCAAGGAGAGCUCAAGUCUGAGGGAACACUCUGAAGGUACACA
rnacentral:lncRNA from 1 species